rnacentral:pre_miRNA from 1 species
GAUUUCAACUGAAAAGGUCAUCAAUAACAAAGUUGUAUAACUCAUCAAGAUCUAUAACUUCUAUUUUGGUCAUUUCUUCAUCCGAUAAAGUGAUUCUCUUAUAUAGUUUUUAUUUUGGUCAUUUCUUCGUCCGAUAAAGUGAUUCACUUUAUCGGAUAAAGAAAUGACCAAAAUAGAAGUUAUAGAUCUUGAUGAGUUAUACAACUUUCUUAUUGAUGACUUUUUUAGAUGAAAUU